CCCACUUGUGGAUUUCCUGUUUCUGUUCUAGAGGCCUGAGUCAAAGUGAGCUCCCGAUUCCUACGUUGGAGCCCAACUUCAAAUGGACUGGACCUGAAGAACAAGGUGUGCUAGAAAUGUCUCUUCCCCCUCCACUCAAUGUGCACUACUAAAAGGUGUUUCAGGAUGCAGAAGGAUACAGAUUUGUCCAGGUGGAUGCUGCUAAGAUGCAGCUGCUGAAUCUUUGUUCUGUAUGGAAGGACAUCAGAGAAGAAAAACUGGAAUCCUCCCAAAGGAUGGAAGAAAACCAAUCACUUUAGCCACACACUACUGACCUUGGCUUGUUCCGAGUAUCAUACUGUGUUAUGGCUAAAUACUAGAUUUCAGCAUAUUGUUGUUUUGUUUCUCUAUGUUCUCAUCCAAAAUAAUUUAAAUGGCUAUGGCCUGCAUUGUUGUCAUGGAUAUUGCAUAGGCUCUCUGAUACCAAUGGCUGUAAACUGCUUUUGAGUUUGGUUGGAUAAGAUGGAGUGUGCUUCACUUUGCAAUGCAACAACCCUUCAAAAAACAACGGCACAUCCAUCUUCAGAGGUCUGCC
ensembl:lncRNA